rnacentral:rRNA from 1 species
UACAGAGGUCCCAAGCGUUGUUCGGAUUCACUGGGCGUAAAGGGUGCGUAGGUGGUCGGGUAAGUCUGAUGUGAAAGCUCUGGGCUCAACCCAGAAAUGGCAUUGGAUACUAUCUGGCUAGAGGAAUGGAGGGGGGACUGGAAUACUUGGUGUAGCAGUGAAAUGCGUAGAUAUCAAGUGGAACACCAGUGGCGAAGGCGGGUCCCUGGACAUUUCCUGACACUGAGGCACGAAAGCUAGGGGAGCAAACAGG